GUGGAAUCCUCUCCCCACCCCCGCAGGAAGGGACAGUUGAGCCAAUGAAGAUGCGCCUUAUAAAUGACAUCAGGAUACUCAGGAUUUCUUCUGAGGACAACGAUGAUUCACAGAAGAGUUUUAAGCAAGCAUCUGGAGCCAAGUGUGUGCAGACCGGUGGUGAGACUGUGGAUUUUCACACCAGUUGUCUGCUUGCUUGUGAGAGCUCGGCUCAGUACAGGCUCAGUAGCUGUGAUGCUCAAGCUCAGUUUCCCCACGGCAUGUGGAAUCUUCCCGGGCCGGGAGUUGAACCUG